rnacentral:sRNA from 1 species
CUGGUCUGCGUGGAGGUCGACGACUCCGUCGCAGACUACGGACCUGUCUGGGUCUCAGCCGCCAAAGACCCCGUCCGGUAGGAAGUACUAGCCGGACAUCAUGAGUGGCUGUCGGGUAUUCAUCGGGAGACUAAAUCCAGCGGCCAGGGAGAAGGACGUGGAAAGAUUCUUCAAGGGAUAUGGACGGAUAAGAGAUAUUGAUCUGAAAAGAGGCUUUGGUUUUGUGGAAUUUGAGGAUCCAAGGGAUGCAGAUGAUGCUGUGUAUGAGCUUGAUGGAAAAGAACUCUGUAGUGAAAGGGUUACUAUUGAACAUGCUAGGGCUCGGUCACGAGGUGGAAGAGGUAGAGGACGAUACUCUGACCGUUUUAGUAGUCGCAGACCUCGAAAUGAUAGACGGUAUGUGAAGGGUGGAUGGCUGCAUUGAACAAUUAUUGUAGGGGUAGCAUUUAAGAUUCAGGAGUCAUUAGCAGUGAUGAUUCCGGGUCCUGCCGUAUAAUCUGUUCGUCUAUUCCCACGUUAGCCCAUUGUUCUUGAUGAAUCUAUGUGAGUCAUAGAACACAAAUCUAUUGACGGAAGUCAUUAGAAUGGCUUGUGAUAUUUGAUGGCUUGAACUUGCCCACAGUUGAACACAAGUGCUGUCAUUGCAUUUCUUCCAUUGUGAAUACGAAUUUUCUUCCUCAGAAAUGCUCCACCUGUAAGAACAGAAAAUCGUCUUAUAGUUGAGAAUUUAUCCUCAAGAGUCAGCUGGCAGGAUCUCAAAGAUUUCAUGAGACAAGCUGGGGAAGUAACGUUUGCGGAUGCACACCGACCUAAAUUAAAUGAAGGGGUGGUUGAGUUUGCCUCUUAUGGUGACUUAAAGAAUGCUAUUGAAAAACUUUCUGGAAAGGAAAUAAAUGGGAGAAAAAUAAAAUUAAUUGAAGGCAGCAAAAGGCACAGGUA